GGAGUCAACAUUCAAUGGAAGUUUGAGUCUCGAUAACAGAAGUACUGAUCUCGUAAAAAAGUAAUGUAGUUUUGUGGCGCACUCUACGUUUGAGUGUUCUUCGCGUUCUUAUUCCUCGUUUGUAGUUCAAUCACGUCUAUCAAUCUCGAUAAAUAUUAUAACAAUAAAUUUUAUCAAUUGUCACAGUUUGUUGUAAAAACGAAUGGAACUUGUUACAUUACAGAAAUCUAAGAAUAGAUGAAACUUGAAAUACUUUUGUAACGAUACUAAACUAUCAUUAGCAGCUGAGCAGAAUAACUCUACAGAGUACACUCGGUUUAAAUGAGUACGUUCAUAUUGUCAGGCCUGCAGGGUACGUACGAACCGCAGUGUGCUAAACUCACUGAUUGAAAAAAAUAGAAGGUCCAUCUUUCGGCUCUUUUGUCUUCGAUUUGGCUGAUGCAGACAUUGGCGUUGUUAACUUCAGGGAUUUGUCUGGGCAGGAGAUCCAAGAUCAGUAAGUCCUAACCAUAUAAGUUCUGAUAAAGGUGAUAAUGGAAGAGGCAGUGUUCGACUACGUAAUGUUAGACCACAAAUUUGAAUCCACAAUAAACUCAUACACUGAUCACCUGAUGCUCCUA